GACGAACGCUGGCGGCGUGCUUAACACAUGCAAGUCGAACGGAAAGGCCCUGCUUUUGUGGGGCGCUCGAGUGGCGAACGGGUGAGUAACACGUGAGUAACCUGCCCUUGACUUUGGGAUAACUUCAGGAAACUGGGGCUAAUACCGGAUAGGAGCUCCUGCUGCAUGGUGGGGGUUGGAAAGUUUCGGCGGUUGGGGAUGGACUCGCGGCUUAUCAGCUUGUUGGUGGGGUAGUGGCUUACCAAGGCUUUGACGGGUAGCCGGCCUGAGAGGGUGACCGGCCACAUUGGGACUGAGAUACGGCCCAGACUCCUACGGGAGGCAGCAGUGGGGAAUAUUGCACAAUGGGCGGAAGCCUGAUGCAGCAACGCCGCGUGCGGGAUGACGGCCUUCGGGUUGUAAACCGCUUUCGCCUGUGACGAAGCGUGAGUGACGGUAAUGGGUAAAGAAGCACCGGCUAACUACGUGCCAGCAGCCGCGGUGAUACGUAGGGUGCGAGCGUUGUCCGGAUUUAUUGGGCGUAAAGGGCUCGUAGGUGGUUGAUCGCGUCGGAAGUGUAAUCUUGGGGCUUAACCCUGAGCGUGCUUUCGAUACGGGUUGACUUGAGGAAGGUAGGGGAGAAUGGAAUUCCUGGUGGAGCGGUGGAAUGCGCAGAUAUCAGGAGGAACACCAGUGGCGAAGGCGGUUCUCUGGGCCUUUCCUGACGCUGAGGAGCGAAAGCGUGGGGAGCGAACAGGCUUAGAUACCCUGGUAGUCCACGCUGUAAACGGUGGGUACUAGGUGUGGGGUCCAUUCCACGGGUUCCGUGCCGUAGCUAACGCUUUAAGUACCCCGCCUGGGGAGUACGGCCGCAAGGCUAAAACUCAAAGGAAUUGACGGGGCCCCGCACAAGCGGCGGAGCAUGCGGAUUAAUUCGAUGCAACGCGUAGAACCUUACCUGGGUUUGACAUGGAUCGGGAGUGCUCAGAGAUGGGUGUGCCUCUUUUGGGGUCGGUUCACAGGUGGUGCAUGGCUGUCGUCAGCUCGUGUCGUGAGAUGUUGGGUUAAGUCCCGCAACGAGCGCAACCCUUGUUCACUGUUGCCAGCACGUUAUGGUGGGGACUCAGUGGAGACCGCCGGGGUCAACUCGGAGGAAGGUGGGGAUGACGUCAAGUCAUCAUGCCCCUUAUGUCCAGGGCUUCACGCAUGCUACAAUGGCUGGUACAGAGAGUGGCGAGCCUGUGAGGGUGAGCGAAUCUCGGAAAGCCGGUCUCAGUUCGGAUUGGGGUCUACAACUCGACCUCAUGAAGUCGGAGUCGCUAGUAAUCGCAGAUCAGCAACGCUGCGGUGAAAACGUUCCCGGG
rnacentral:rRNA from 1 species